UAGUUGGAUUUCUGUGGGGGCGGAGCGGCCGGCCGCAACUUGCGGUUCGAGCUAGCGCUUCCCCUACAUCCUGCCGCGAACCGUGCUACCAUUAAUUUGGUGGCGCCGGGGAUCGGCUCGUUUACUUUGAGAAAAAUAGAGUGUUCAAAGCAGGCCACACGCCUUGAAUAAGUUAGCAUGGAAUAAUAAUAAAGGACUUCGGUUCUAUUUUGUUGGUGUUCGGGACUGAAGUAAUGAUUGACAGGGACAGUUGGGGCAAUCAGUAUUCCAAAGCGAGAGGUGAAAUUCUUAGACCUUCGGAAGACUAACAGCUGCGAAAGCGUUUUGCAAGGAUGUUCCCUUUGAUCAAGAACGAAAGUUGGGGGAUCGAAGACGAUCAGAUACCGUCGUAGUCUCAACUAUAAACUAUACCAGCUAGGGAUCGGUCAACGUUAAAUUAUCCGACUUGAUCGGCACCUUAUGAGAAAUCAAAGCAUCUGGGUUCCGGGGGGAGUAUGGUCGCAAGGCUGAAACUUAAAGGAAUUGACGGAAGGGCACCACCAGCCGUGGAGCCUGUGGCUUAAUUUGACUCAACACGGGAAAACUUACCAGGUCCAGACAUAGUAAGGAUUGACAGAUUGAUAGCUCUUUCUUGAUUCUGUGGGUGGUGGUGCAUGGCCGUUCUUAGUUGGUGGAGUGAUUUGUCUGGUUAAUUCCGUUAACGAACGAGACCCCAGCCUGCUAAAUAGCGCGGCUGAGCUUUGCUCGGUGCGAGCUUCUUAGAGGGACUAUGAUGCGCGAUAGCACAUGGAAGUUUGGGGGCAAUAACAGGUCUGUGAUGCCCUUAGAUGUUCUGGGCCGCACACGGGCUACACUGGCGCCUGCAACGAGCAUAUCAGCUGGCCCGAGAGGGUCUUGGCUAAUCUUUUGAACC
rnacentral:rRNA from 1 species